CGGAGGGUGCAAGCGUUGUUCGGAAUUACUGGGCGUAAAGCGCGUGCAGGCGGCCGAUUAAGUCCGGUGUGAAAGCCCGGGGCUCACCCCCGGAAGUGCGCUGGAAACUGAUCGGCUAGAGUACGGGAGAGGGAAGCGGAAUUCCUGGUGUAGCGGUGAAAUGCGUAGAUAUCAGGAGGAACACCGGCGGCGAAGGCGGCUUCCUGGACCGAUACUGACGCUGAGACGCGAAAGCGUGGGGAGCAAACAGGAUUAGAUACCCUGGUAGUCCACGCUGUAAACGAUGGGUACUAGGUGUCGGGGGUGUUGACCCCUCCGGUGCCGCAGCUAACGCAUUAAGUACCCCGCCUGGGGAUUACGGUCGCAAGAUUAA
rnacentral:rRNA from 1 species